GACGAACGCUGGCGGCGUGCUUAACACAUGCAAGUCGAACGGAAAGGCCCUGCUUUUGUGGGGUGCUCGAGUGGCGAACGGGUGAGUAACACGUGAGUAACCUGCCCUUGACUUUGGGAUAACUUCAGGAAACUGGGGCUAAUACCGGAUAGGAGCUCCUGCUGCAUGGUGGGGGUUGGAAAGUUUCGGCGGUUGGGGAUGGACUCGCGGCUUAUCAGCUGGUUGGUGGGGUAGUGGUUGACCAAGGCUUUGACGGGUAGCCGGCCUUGGAGGGUGGCCGGGGACAUGGGGCCUGAGAGACGGCGCAGACUCCUACGGUAGGCAGUGGGGGGGAAUAUGACACAAUGGGCGGGAGCCUGAGGCGAAAACGCCGCGUGCGGGAAGACGGCCUUCGGGUUAUAAACCGCUUUCGCCUGUGACGAAGCGUGAGUGACGGUAAUGAAUAAAGAAGCACCGGCUAACUACGUG
rnacentral:rRNA from 1 species